AUAUGUUCAAAGAUAAUACCGGAGGCUUAUUCUGGGAAGCGUUCUGCUCUUCCUCCGACAGCCACGCAGCGAGCUCACGAGGCAGCCUCCACACAUAAUGAAAGCAAACGCCACCAUAAAUCUCCCGCUCGGCGGAGGUCACUUCAGAAAAAUCGCCCGCUGCUCAGAUAAGCACCAGCUUUGCUGAGGAACAUGGAAGGGGGAAAACACCGACUGUGAUAAACACCAGCAGGAUGACUGGAGUCCGCUGGAACCUGGAAUGGAGUUUUCUGACAGCAAAGGAUUACAGGAGCGUAACAGAAAUUAUGGAGAUUUCCCCGCUAGGCAUAAGGAUGCGAUCACUGUAGGCACCUGUGGGCCCAAGCAGGUUACCCACCAAUAUCCCUUUAAACACCAAAUUAUGGACUAUUAGGCCACUGCUUCAAGGCUUCUACAAAUGUGAAACCUUGACAAAUUCCCAAAUAAAAGCCAUAAAACCAA
rnacentral:lncRNA from 1 species